ACCGGCGCCACAUCCGGUCAUGAAGUAACAGUAAUGUCCCGGUGAGGUGACAGCCAGCGGAAGUAAACAGAGAAAGGCCAGCAGCCGCUAACACACCCACGGCUGGAGGUUCCUGCGUGGAGGAGCUGGGAGACGGCCGCGUUGUCGCACCUCGGGUCGCUGAUUCAGCUGCUGGAAAACAAUGUCUUCCGUUCAGUAUCUGAAAGAGUUCAUCAGCGAAAGACUCACAGCUGCUGCUGCAGAAAUAUUCGGAGUGUUUGAGAAAACCAUCGUCCAGUACGAGGAGGAGAUCGACCGUCAGCGCAGGCUGCUGGAUGUUAGCCAGAAACCUCAGAGAAAGUUAAAAACAGCAGAUGUUCCACAGCAACAUGUGUGUCAGGAGGAGGAUGAGGAGGUGGAGGAAGUUCCUCCCGACCAGCUUUCUAACCAAGAGAAGAACCCCAUUCUGGACCAAGAGGAACCAGAUCUUCCCCAGGUUAAAGAAGAACAGGAGGAAUUCUGCACCAAUCAGGAAGGAGAGCCUUUUGUACUGAAGGAGGAGAGCGAUGCCUUCAUGGUGACACUUACGUAUGAGGAAAGUGACCACAGUGAUCCAGAACCAAACGACGACCAGCUCCAAGAUCAGGAUCGGGAAGGAAGUGAGGAUGCAGACUUGGGAUCGAGCAGCAGUACGGAGAUGAAGGCAAAACAAAGAUGUCCAGGUAUCAGCACCAGUAACGAUGAAGAUGACCCGUGUUCCAUGUCAGAGAGUCACUGUGACGCUGACGUUGGCAGCGUUUCAUUAAAAUGUGGCGUUUGUGGUAAAGUGUUUAAGAAUAAGUACCACCUGAAGAUGCAUCACAGAAUCCACACCGGCGUGAAGCCGUAUGCGUGCAGUGACUGCGGAAAACGGUUCAACGACGCGUCCACGCUGAAAUACCACACCAGAACUCACACGGGCGAGAAGCCGUACUCCUGCCAAACAUGCGGGAAAAGUUUCCGAUGUAGUUACAGCGUUUUAGUCCACAUGCGAACCCACACGGGGGAGAAGCCGUACCUUUGCAACACCUGCGGAAAAAGAUUCACGAACUUAUCAGCUUUUAAGUGGCACACAGCCAUCCACACCGGAGAGAAGCGCUACUCCUGCAAGAUAUGCGGGAAAAGUUUCACGCAAAGCGGCAAUCUGACCGCUCACAUGGGAACACACACGGGGGAGAAGCGCUAUUCCUGCAAAAUCUGCGAGAAGAGCUUCAGCCGGAGCAGCAACCUGAUUGUCCACAUGAGAACACACACCGGCGAAAAGCCGUACCCCUGCAACACCUGCGGAGAACGCUUCAAAUACGCGUCCGCGCUGAAAAAGCACAUGAGAACUCACGCAGAGGACGAGUCCUUCUCCUGCGAAACGUGUGGGAGAGGUCCUGCAAGCAGCAGCUCCUCCGUUCGAAGCACUCCUCACGCGGGGGAGGAGUGUAGCCCCGAGACGUCCACGGGGGAAAUGGUUUGGGUGGCAAAGCCUGAAGAAAACGUGUGAAAAGUUGUACGUGUUGAAAGUGGAGCCUUCAGAUUCAGCUUGAAAGCGUUUUGCAUGUUAAUGGUCUGUUUGUCUGUGUUCAUGAGGGGAAACUUACCGAAGCGCUGCAGAGCUGAAGACCCCCAGAACCCGAGGAAACCGGGGACAUGGUGCUACCAGACUUCAUAUUAUAAACAUGAGCUGGAAUAUCAGUGUGAAUUUAUUUAAAUCCUUUUCAGAUUUUUGGUUCAUUUUACGUUCAGUACAGUCAUGUGUGUGAUGAUAAACUGCGAUGGACUGGGACCUGUCCAGGUGCACCUGCCUCUCGCCUGUUCCUGGCUGGGUUAGGCUCCAGCUUCGACGCAACCUUUAACUGGAAGAAGCGUAACACCGGAAUCCUCAGAAAACAGAUCUCUUUCCAUCCACAUGCAGACCACCGCUAAAGGUUUGUACCUUAAAGGUGAAGAGAUACCUGGUCAGUUAAAUCUCUUUUAGCUUGUCUUCAGGACUUUAAAGCACGGAUGGCCUUUAUCUUUUUAAACUAGUGUGUUUGGACCUGGUGGCUCAUGCGGAGCUGGUUAUAGGUCUUGGGUUCAGACUGGACAGGCAGCAGUUGGAGAUCCGUACCUUUGUACCCUGGUGGCUGGAUUACUGGAACUGCCUCUGCAAGUCCGUCCUCACUGCACAUCUGCUGCGCUUUAGAGUCUAUUUUAAAAUCCUCGUGUUUGCUUUUAAAGUUUUAAAUGUCCGUGCUGCACCAUAUUUAUCUGAGCUUCCCCACCGCUUCAUUCCUUCUUGGACCCUCAGGUCAGCUGAUCAGCUGCUGGUUGUCCCUGGUUCUGAUUGGGAGCUCAGAAGGGGCGGGGCCUUCUGCGUACCUGGACCUGAAACAACUUCGCUUUGAUCCACCUGCCAAGCUCACACACUGUCCGUUUAUAAAACCCAUCUUCAAAAUCACGUUCACUCAUUAGCCUCGAAUCUAACAUGAGAUUUGAUCUUAUUUGUUUUUUAAUUUAUUUUUAUCUAGUUUUUAUUGACAAUUUGAUUUUUUUUAUUUGACUACUUUUAUUAGGUUUUAUUAAUUUUUAUUUGUAAAAAUUUGGUGUUAUUUUAAUCAUUUUUAAUUUGGUCUACAUUGUAUGCUCAGCGCGUUGCUCAGCUGUGGCUGCUGUUAAAGAGCUUUGUAAAUAAGUGAUGAUGAUGAUGAAGAAGAAAAAUGUGAUGAUUACACUGACAGGCUGCUUUUAGAGGAAAAUGUGAUGUCUGUUUAAUUUCAUGUAGAGCUGAAGUUAUUUAUUUUAAAAAAGCACACACACAUAGUUUGUCUGCAGUUGGAUCAACGGUAUUUAUUUUCUACCUGAACGGCCUUUAUCUUAUUAGCCUCGAACUUCUUCCUGGAACCAGGCCCAGAGAACAAAAACUGUUUGGCCCAGAUCUGGCCUUGACUUAAAGGUUGACUAAAUCUGAGUGUGUCUUCCAAAACUCAGUCACAUGACCACCACAUGUCACAUGUGGCCCACGGGAGACUUCCUGCAAGCCAAGCCAGCCUGGAAACGGACAUCUGGCCCACUUCUGGCCCACACAACACUUGCCAGUGAUGCAGAGUGGAAAUAUUAAGGCAUCCUAAAUUCUAAUCCAGACAUCGUCCAGCAGAAGUGCUUCAGCAAUGGUCAUUUUUCUUUCUUUUUGUCAUUUGUUCGGUUUGUAUUUUCUGUUAUGUUUGCUGCAGGAACAUGUAGGCUUGUGAGCUACAUUACGUCAUCAGCCUGUACUCAGUGUGUGUGUGUGUGCUGCUAGUUCAUGUGUGUAUUG